AACAGCAAUGAGCCAACAAAGGUAAAAAGAUUUUGAGAACGAAAUCAAAUCACACUAACAUAUAGUAUUACAAGUAUUAGUAUUUAUCAAAGCCCUCCCCCUGACCGAAGUCCCUUGAAAGCUCUUCUUCCUGAAGACUCCCUCCCUUUCGUUGUAGCUACUCUGCAUCUAACGGAUCCACAGGAGGCUGGCCAUUCACCUGGACAUGCUAACAUUUUAGCAAACAGAAUAUUCGGCAGCAAACUAUCUAGUGCUCCAUGGGGUGGAUUGAUGUCGAACAGUAACUACUAGUGCUAAUAUUUAUCUCACCCUUAUUUUUCCCAAAGGCGCCGACAUCUCUCUCAUACGCCCACAACUGGAGGGCAAUACUAGGAGCAACUGACUGAGGCCUAAGCCUUCCAAGUUAGGACACCACCCGGAGACUAUUUCC
rnacentral:sRNA from 1 species